UCGUGGAUCCGCAGCCUCCAACUCCAGCUCUAUAUAGUCUCUCUCGCCCAGAAAAAAUUAAGAGAGAAGAGUUCAUCACGUUUUACGACACGGAGCCGCCACCACCACCUGUUCUUCCUCUAGAUGGCAGAUCUGGAGUCCGUUCUGCGCUCCGGAGAGGGGAGAUCGACGCCGUUGUCAUCAUCAACCAUAUUUCAUCGCCAAUUACGCGACGCUCUUCACCGUUCAUGAGUAAUCUCAGCGUAGGCUUGCUGGACGGUGAUGGGUUGGAUGAGAUCUAUCAUGUAAUCGAGUUAGUUUUGAUGGGGUUUGAUCCCUAGUAUCCACUAUGUUCUGAGAUUGAUGUUGCUACUACUUUGCUAUGAUUAAUGCUUGUCAUUAGGGCCCGAGUGCCAUGAUUUCAGAUCUGAACCUAUUAUGUUUCAUCAAUAUAUGUGCGUUCUUGAUCCUAUCUUGCAAGUUGUAGUC
rnacentral:lncRNA from 1 species